rnacentral:rRNA from 1 species
GACGAACGCUGGCGGCGUGCUUAACACAUGCAAGUCGAACGGAAAGGCCCUGCUUUUGUGGGGUGCUCGAGUGGCGAACGGGUGAGUAACACGUGAGUAACCUGCCCUUGACUUUGGGAUAACUUCAGGAAACUGGGGCUAAUACCGGAUAGGAGCUCCUGCUGCAUGGUGGGGGUUGGAAAGUUUCGGCGGUUGGGGAUGGACUCGCGGCUUAUCAGCUUGUUGGUGAGGUAGUGGCUUACCAAGGCUUUGACGGGUAGCCGGCCUGAGAGGGUGAACGGCGACAAGGGUCCUGAGGGACGCACCAGUCUCGUACGGGACGCAACAGGGGAGAGUAUUACGCAACGAGGGGGAGCGUGUGGUGACGACGCCGCGUGCGGAAUACUCGCCUACGAGUUGUGAACCACUUUGGAAGGUAACAAGGAGGGAUUGACGGUAAUGGGUAAAGAAGCAACGGCUAACUACGUG